rnacentral:misc_RNA from 1 species
AGGGCAGGCAGUAUUCACUUAGGUGCGCGCGGCGUCUUUUCAACGACAACGAAAAUCGCCGCCAAUAAAGAAAGGGAGGGAAAAACGGGGAGACCAGGCAAACCACCGCUUGUGAGGAGGGGGCGCUGGCUGCGCACAGAAGGUUGCACUCACGCACUGGCAGUGCUAUCGCUAUCCUAGCUCUCCAUCUCUCCGGCCUUCACGACCCCUGACAGCUGCGCGUGAGCAUACAAACACACACACACACACACAUACAUACAAGCAUCAAGCAACAUGGCGGAGACAGCAGUGUCGAGCCAGGAGGAGAGCAGCACGCUGCUCGUCGGCGUGGGCAAGGCAGCCAGCGCCAUGUCGUCGAAGGAAAUCAAGAACGCCCUGGAGAAGGGCGACACCACCGCCCGCGCGAAUGCCCUCAUGGCCAUCAUCCGCCUCCACGUGAACGGCGAGCCGCAGAACUACCUGAUCAUGUCCGUCAUCCGCUACAUCACCCCCAUCGAUGACCAUCUCAUCAAGAAGCUCGUCCUGUACUUUUGGGAGGUGGUUGACAAGCGCGACGCAGACGGCAAACUCCUCUCUGUCAUCAUUCUCAUCUGCAGCUUCUUGCGCAGCGACUUGCUCCACCCGAACGAGUACGUGCGGGGCCUGACGCUGCGCUUCCUCUGCAAGGUGAAUGAGGUGGAGCUGAUCGAGCCGCUCGUGUCGGCAGUGGUGCAGAACCUGUCGCACAAGGUCGCCUAUGUGCGGCGCAAUGCGGUGCUGGCAGUGCACUACAUCUUCAAGAAGUUCCCAAAGCUGCUCCCCGAUGCGCCGGAGCUGGUGGAAUCGGCAAUCCGCACCGAGACGGAUGUGUCGACGUGCCGCAACGGCCUCGAUUUCCUUGCUGCCUUCGCGCCUGAGCGGGCGGCGAGCUACCUCAGUGACUUCCGCGACUCGCACACACUGUCGGCCGUCGAUGGGCCAUUUCUGAUGUCCGUGGUGGAGUUCUGCCGUCAGAUGAUCCGCGCUAACCCGUACGAGAAGGCGCGCUACGUCCCGGUCCUCUUUUCUGUUCUGCAGAGUAAAAGUGCCGCGGUGCGCUACCAGUGUGCGACGACCCUGCUGAGCCUCUCCUCGUCUCCCACGGCGAUCCGUCAGGCGACGCUGACCUACGUCGACAUCAUCAAGGUGCACUCCGACAACAGCGUGCGGCUGAUUGUGGUCGAGCAGCUGAACCAGAUGCGCGGGUCGUACCUCUACGUGCUGCAGGACUCGCUGCUCGACAUCCUCAGCGUGCUACAGGACGGCUCCAUGGCCAUUCGCGAGCGCGUAAUCGAGCUGGCGGUCGAGCUGGUCACGCGUCGCAACGCCGAGACGUUCAUGCAGGCAAUGAGGAAGGAGCUGCUGCGCACCAACAGCGUGGACUUUGAAGUAGAAGACGCCAACGCUGCCAUGGCGUAUCGACUGCUCAUCAUCAAGGCCAUAAACACAGCGCUGCUGCGCCACCCGCCGUCGGCGCCGUCGAUGCUGCCGGUGCUGCUGGACUACCUGUGCGACACGACCAGCACUAGCAGGGAGGUCAUCACUCUCAUCAAGGAGGUGCUGCUCUCCCAGCCGGAGCUGCGCCGCGACACGAUGAAGAAGCUGUCGGACAUCUUUCCCAUGAUGACGUCAAGUCCCGUCAUGCGCACAGCACUCUGGAUGUUCGGCGCGUACGCGUCGUCCGCGGACGAGGUGCUGCAGACACUGCGCAUGCUCAAGAACGCGGUCGAGCCACUGCCGUUCGAGGCCCCCAAGCCUCUCUCCGGCGACGCAGCCAGCCUCAACACCACCGCGACCACCAACAAUGCCUCUUCCCAGUCCAACAUGCGUGCCGUGACGACCGUCCUCGAGGACGGCACGUACGUGACCACCUACACCACGGCCACCCCAGCAGCCGCGGCGACCGCGACGAACGGUCAUGGUGAGGGCGACAACAACGAUGUGAGCAGCAGCGGGCUGCGCUUGGCGCUGCUCAGGGGAGACUACUUCCUCGCCGCCGCCCUCGCCAGCACCCUCACCAAGCUUGUCGUGCAGCUGUUCACCGGGGAGGUCAAGGGGAGCGUGGAUGCGGCGACACGCAACACGGCGCAGUCCGACGCCCUCGCCAUCCUGCGCGAGGUACUGCGCUACGGCACGGAGGCGGACUCAUUGCACCCUAUCAGUGCCGACACCAACGAGCACAUCCUCCUGAACAUUGAGCUACUCUCCAACCCGCAGGCUCCCUUCAUGGUUGAUGUGCUGCGCGCCUCCUUGGAGGCGCUAGGGCGUGCAGAGCGGCGUUCGGCAAGGGAGUCUGGCAAGACCGACGGCGGCGGCGCUGCCACCGCUUCUGCUGCCGCUGCCGUGCAGCUGAACGCCAUCGACACACCUGUCGUGUUCUCGCAGCUGAGUGAGGGCAAGGAUGCCGUCUUCGAACUCGAGGCCACCGCCGAGGGCCCGGGUGCCGCGGCGAAGGGGGAGAGCAGCGAGCGCAAGGCGCAGCUGUUCCUGAAGAAGCUGGAGGACACGAUGCCGCUCUCCGGCUUCAACGACCCCGUCUACUGCGAGGCCAGCAUCACGGUUCAUCAGUUCGACGUCUCCGUGGACUGGCUGCUGGUGAACUGCACUUCGAAGCAGCUGACGAACCUGACCAUCGAGCUCGUCUCGCUCGGCGGCAUGAAGCUGUGCGAGCGGCCGCAGACGUACACCCUCAACCCCCACGAGACCAUUGCCGUGCGCACCUCGCUGAAAGUGAGCGCCACCGAGAGCGGCGUCAUCUACGGCACCGUGCUGUACGACGCGCCGAACAAUCAGCACUGCAGCUUCAUCCUGAACGACAUCCAUGUGGACAUCAUGAACUACAUUCAUCCGGGCCCGUGCUUCUCCGCGGAGUUCCGAGAGAAGUGGGGAAUCUUCGACUGGGAGAACAAGAUCGCCGUGUCGACGACGAAGCGCGACCUGGCCAGCUUAGUGCGCUUCAUUGUGCAGGAGUUGAACAUGCAGCUGCUGGAGCCGUACGAGGUGGAGCAGCAGGAGGAGCAGGACCCGGAGCUAGAGCUUCUACCGACGUCGGAAGAGAACGAGAAGUGCGCGUACGUCUCGUGCAAUCUGUAUGCCCAGACCGCCUUUGGCGAGGACGCCUUGGCGAACGUGAGCGUGGAGAGCGACGGGAAGGGUUUGGUGAGUGGCGUGAUUCGCAUUCGCUCCAACACGCAGACCAUCGCCUAUGGCAUCGGUGAAAAGCUGAACAUGCUCCAGAAGUCCGGCAAGCUGUGAGCAGGAUGUGUGUGUGUGUGUGUUACUGCAUGUGCUUGAGCUUGGACGUCGGCGUACGUCUGUGAUUUCUUCUUUUGCUGUGUGUGUGUGCGUGUGAUGCGGGGGUGGCGUGCCCGCUGGGCUCUUUCCUGUUCUCUUUCAACUCUCCAUUCUUGUCGCGCGCCGCCAUCACCCUCUCGAUGUGCGUGUGUAGCGCUCGUUGUGUCUUCUGUUUCCCUCUGUUACUGGGCUCGGCUCUUCUGAUCACGCGUGCGUGCAUGCACGUGCGGCUGCAGUUCCUGUUUUUGUUUUCUUGUCUGCGAGACUCCCCGCCUCCUGCGCAAGGGCGUGCUCGCCAGUGUCAGCUUGUGGCUCAUGGGUGCUGGUGUGCGUGCGUGUGUCUGUGUGCUUCGUGGACUGCAAGCGGACACAUCUGUGUGGGAACCGAAGACUUUAGUGGAGCGCUUCGCGCUCAUCUCUGUGCCUGUGUGUGUGUGUGUGUGUGGUUGUGCGUGUUUGGGUGCGCAUGAGUCUUUUCUCUUGUUUAGCCUCAUUCAAGAACACGACUAGAUCGAGAGAAGGUGGGGCGAUUUGUGGGGAGGGAGACGGAAGGGAAGGUAUGUGUGUGGUGCGCUGCGCUGUGCUGUGUAACACACGGGGAUGCGUAACCCCCCUUUCCCACCGCGGCGGAAACACAUGCAAGGCUUUUAUUUAUGCCUCUGCCUUCCCGCCCUUCUCCUCGUAGUGCCCUUUACCGAUAGGUGUGUGCGUAGCGGCAGCGGAAGUGGCGACUGACCAGGCGCCGAAAAACAGAGAUGGCCGUGUGCGGUGCAGCUCCGUUCCUCGCGUGAUGUUCACGCAGGGUCGUUGCCGCCGCCUCCACUGUUCCACGUUGCCUAUUGGCUUCGAUACCUGCGCCCGAUCGCUUCAUUUCUCCGUCCCUCUGUCUCCUGCGUGGCACCUGAUGCGCGUGACACUGCCCCCCUUCCCGUGCUCCCUUCCCUCGCAUCUGCACUGCUCUUGUACUCGUGGCGCCCUCUCUUCUCUACUGCUCUGCUUUUCUCUCGCCGCCCUCACCACACUUGUGUGCGUGUGUGCGUGUCUGAUGAGGCGGGCAUAUAAUACGCCAACGUAG